UGGCAAUGGUAACUACCAGAAAGUUUCGACUC
rnacentral:piRNA from 1 species